GGGUUGUGAGGUUAAGCGACUAAGCGUACACGGUGGAUGCCCUGGCAGUCAGAGGCGAUGAAGGGCGUGCUAAUCUGCGAUAAGCGCCGGUAAGGUGAUAUGAACCGUUAUAACCGGCGAUACCCGAAUGGGGAAACCCAGUGUGAUUCGUCACACUAUCAUUAACUGAAUCCAUAGGUUAAUGAGGCGAACCGGGGGAACUGAAACAUCUAAGUACCCCGAGGAAAAGAAAUCAACCGAGAUUCCCCCAGUAGCGGCGAGCGAACGGGGAGGAGCCCAGAGCCUGAAUCAGCAUGUGUGUUAGUGGAAGCGUCUGGAAAGGCGCGCGAUACAGGGUGACAGCCCCGUACACAAAAGCGCAUGUGCUGUGAGCUCGAUGAGUAGGGCGGGACACGUGGUAUCCUGUCUGAAUAUGGGGGGACCAUCCUCCAAGGCUAAAUACUCCUGACUGACCGAUAGUGAACCAGUACCGUGAGGGAAAGGCGAAAAGAACCCCGGCGAGGGGAGUGAAAAAGAACCUGAAACCGUGUACGUACAAGCAGUGGGAGCCCCGUUGGGUAGGGGAGCGUUCUGUAAGCCUGUGAAGGUGGCCUGUGAGGGUUGCUGGAGGUAUCAGAAGUGCGAAUGCUGACAUAAGUAACGAUAAAGCGGGUGAAAAGCCCGCUCGCCGGAAGACCAAGGGUUCCUGUCCAACGUUAAUCGGGGCAGGGUGAGUCGACCCCUAAGGCGAGGCCGAAAGGCGUAGUCGAUGGGAAACGGGUUAAUAUUCCCGUACUUGGUGUUACUGCGAAGGGGGGACGGAGAAGGCUAUGUUGGCCGGGCGACGGUUGUCCCGGUUUAAGCGUGUAGGCUGGUUUUCCAGGCAAAUCCGGAAAAUCAAGGCUGAGGCGUGACGACGAGGCACUACGGUGCUGAAGCAACAAAUGCCCUGCUUCCAGGAAAAGCCUCUAAGCAUCAGGUAACAUCAAAUCGUACCCCAAACCGACACAGGUGGUCAGGUAGAGAAUACCAAGGCGCUUGAGAGAACUCGGGUGAAGGAACUAGGCAAAAUGGUGCCGUAACUUCGGGAGAAGGCACGCUGACACGUAGGUGAAGUGAUUUACUCAUGGAGCUGAAGUCAGUCGAAGAUACCAGCUGGCUGCAACUGUUUAUUAAAAACACAGCACUGUGCAAACACGAAAGUGGACGUAUACGGUGUGACGCCUGCCCGGUGCCGGAAGGUUAAUUGAUGGGGUCAGCGCAAGCGAAGCUCCUGAUCGAAGCCCCGGUAAACGGCGGCCGUAACUAUAACGGUCCUAAGGUAGCGAAAUUCCUUGUCGGGUAAGUUCCGACCUGCACGAAUGGCGUAAUGAUGGCCAGGCUGUCUCCACCCGAGACUCAGUGAAAUUGAACUCGCUGUGAAGAUGCAGUGUACCCGCGGCAAGACGGAAAGACCCCGUGAACCUUUACUAUAGCUUGACACUGAACAUUGAGCCUUGAUGUGUAGGAUAGGUGGGAGGCUUUGAAGUGAUCCGGGUUGCGGACAGUGUCUGGUGGGUAGUUUGACUGGGGCGGUCUCCUCCUAAAGAGUAACGGAGGAGCACGAAGGUUGGCUAAUCCUGGUCGGACAUCAGGAGGUUAGUGCAAUGGCAUAAGCCAGCUUGACUGCGAGCGUGACGGCGCGAGCAGGUGCGAAAGCAGGUCAUAGUGAUCCGGUGGUUCUGAAUGGAAGGGCCAUCGCUCAACGGAUAAAAGGUACUCCGGGGAUAACAGGCUGAUACCGCCCAAGAGUUCAUAUCGACGGCGGUGUUUGGCACCUCGAUGUCGGCUCAUCACAUCCUGGGGCUGAAGUAGGUCCCAAGGGUAUGGCUGUUCGCCAUUUAAAGUGGUACGCGAGCUGGGUUUAGAACGUCGUGAGACAGUUCGGUCCCUAUCUGCCGUGGGCGCUGGAGAACUGAGGGGGGCUGCUCCUAGUACGAGAGGACCGGAGUGGACGCAUCACUGGUGUUCGGGUUGUCAUGCCAAUGGCACUGCCCGGUAGCUAAAUGCGGAAGAGAUAAGUGCUGAAAGCAUCUAAGCACGAAACUUGCCCCGAGAUGAGUUCUCCCUGAGACUUAGAGUCUCCUGAAGGAACGUUGAAGACGACGACGUUGAUAGGCCGGGUGUGUAAGCGCAGCGAUGCGUUGAGCUAACCGGUACUAAUGAACCGUGAGGCUUAACCUUACAACGCCGAAG
rnacentral:rRNA from 1 species